CUGUGUGGGGAUAUAGUACUGUGCAGUGCAAAACCUUUUAUAUCCCAGUAAAUAUUGCUCAGUCUGUAUGGACAACAUGUGUUGUGGUCACUAACGCUGUAAUUCUAUGGCUUUGCUGUGCGGACACCUUAUGGUGGUUGUAUGGAUGUGCUAGACUGCUGAUAUGUCUAAAUGCAGUAUUUAAUGUAUUAGUGAUGCCGAUAACAUCACUCAUUACAUUUUAACUAAUGCUGUCUGGUUGCACCAUUUUUAAAUCCUCCACAAUAAGUUUGACUCCAUCCUAUUGAAACACAUGGUGUAUUUUACAAGUCAAUUCAGGCUUGACUUAAGGGAAGCUACUGGUAAACAUGGCUGCCCCACUUACUUAAAAUACUCAUACUUACAGAAUAUUAUGUAAUAACAUUUGAAAAUAUGGUUGUCCUUUUUUGCUUCAGCCUUCCAGUUAGGCUUUUCACUUUCUUUUUUACACUGGUUGUAGUCAAACCGUUACAAGCGGUCCUUGAGCUUAAUUGUGUACAAAUAUAUCAUUCAUAUUGUUUGUGUAUGUGUGCCAGUCCACACAACUGUAAGAUGACUGGGAUAUAGUCACUCUCUUUAGGCCACAUCAAAUGAAAUGGAGUAUCUUAUCAGUCAGUCAACCGCAUGGGGGAGAUGUGAGAAUGUAGCCAUAGUGGCACUCUGCUGGGCCUCUUUUCCUCUGGGUUUGUGGUUGUUUCAUGAUGUCCCCACUCUACCGGCCCCCAGCAUCACAAAGCGGCAUAGCCCUCUUUACACGUCACGAACGGGAACUGUGGAUAAAUCAAUUUUUUUGUAUCAAUGUGUCUAUUGUAGUUAUAUUUUGGGGCCCUAUGCUAAACCUAGCUUGUCGGAUGGGGAGGGAGAUACUGUCAUAGGACUCAAAUGUGGGAAUGCAUCGCAUAACAGCUUAACUGUAAGUUGGGGUUUGUGUGUGAAUUUAGACACUUGUCAGAAUGGAGAGUGAGUUUUGGCCCAAGCGUGUUGAUGGGGUGCACUGUGUACGUGUGAGAGUGCUUUGGAUACACUGGGGGUGUGUCUCAAAUCCACACACCCCUCUUUUCCUCUUUCUCUCACACACCCCUCUCUUCCUCUUUCUCUCACACACACUGAGCUUGGAUCCUAAUCUCCCUCACUGCUAGUUCUCUGGCCUGCUCCUCUCAUGGAGAGAUGACUCAUGUUGAUUACUAAUGCGACAGGCGUUGGUUUGGUGUCAGUGUUUAUGGCCGGGUGAGGGUUGUUUCUCUGUCAUUUCUCUGUGGGUCCAGUGCCGAGGAGGCGUCGGUCGGGACGUAGCUCUGAAAUGGCCGGCGUCACACUGCUUCUGCUUUGUCUACUUCCUGUUGAUGGCUUUUCUGGCCCUGCAGUGGGGAGAUGGAGCAGCUCUAUUGAAGUGUGCUGUGUUGGAGUGAGAAGGGCCCUACUGUAACAGACCCGCCUGACCGUGAAUGGGGAGAUUGCACACUGGGCUGAUUGGUGCUCUGAGGUCACUCGCAAGUCUCCAUUAGUGGAGUCGCGUGAAAUGAACAAACUGUGUAGGCUUGGUUUGUGUGAGUGUGUACCUUCUCUGACAUUGGUGUUGUGCAGAGGGAACCCCAGUCAGUCAGUUAGCUCUGCGGUCACUCUGCCUGCCUUGUGCUCUACUGGGCAUGUGUUGUGUGUUGGACAAGUGGGAACGGACUGCUGGAGUUUUUGCAGGAUUAACACCCACAACUGCAUGACUGGUGUUUCUAUGGCUCAGAAGGGUUCCUAUUUAUAGAUGUCAGGCCUGGUGUAAAUUACUAUAAACAAUAAACUGAACCUCUACCUCCCUGCCUGCACACACCCCUGUCCAAAACAGUUACCUCUGGCUAGUUACUCACAACAUUAAACUCUACUAUUUUAGGGUGGAAUUAACUCUCUAAAAUACAUGAAUACACCCAAACCAAGUGUGGAAUGGUCAGCUUUAAGUCCCUAACCAUUCUAGAUGAAUGCUGAGAAUUGUGAUUUUGGUUUAAUGUGACUGGAUUUUGGUAGUUGGGUUCUGUUAAUAGUGAUUAUAUUCUGUUCAAUUUAUUGUAAUGAUUUAUGAAAAAUGCAGUGUCAUGUGUGUGGGAGAGGGAUAGUAAGAAAUGUGUUUGUAGGUUCUGUGUCAUUGAAGUAUAAUUCAAAUGUAGGCCUAUAUUAUAUUUUAAAGUGAUUGUCAUCUUUAAAAAGUCAAACAUUCUUAGAUAAUGGACAAGAACAUGCCUCCAUACACAAGUACCCAGUUCUUCCAACUUCAGUCUAGUUACACCAUGUAGUUACACCAUGUAGUUACACCAUGUCAUGGUGUAACUAGACUAAAGUUGGAAGUACAUCUGGGUUAUUGUGUAUGGAGGGAUGUGCUUGAAAAUAAAGCCAUAGCUAAGGAAAUUGCCCUAUUAUGUUGAGUUUGACUUUAAACAAUAAAUAAAUAAUAAUAUAAUGUAUCUAGUGUGACAUCUAAAAUGGAUGUGAAGUUGCAUGGGACUGCUUUCAAAACUAAAAUCCUUUCCCAGAAUGUAAUAUCAGGCAUGUAUAACUUGUCCAGUUAUUUGAAAUGUAUUUGCAUGUUUGGUAUUAGUUGCUGUCUAAACUGAAUUAUGAUGUAACUGCUUUUUAUACUCGACAGCAUUGUGCAUACAAUCCUCAUAACCUACUUAAAAUAAUCAAAGAAAUUAUAACUUUCCCUCAACUAAAGUCGAUGUAUCAACUCUUAUCAAAUUAAUUAUUUAAAUGAUAAUCAUUCUCCCAUUGAAUAACAAAGCAACAUUUUAACAUUUACAUAAAACAAUUUUCAGUAUAGUUUAGAAACUUCUUAGAAAUGUACCAUAUAGCCUACACAACAUACACACAUAGCAGAACAGACUUGUGUUACAAAUGAGGCUAAACUAAAUUUGCUCUUGACAAGAGAAGGGUUUGUGAUGGGGGGGGUCUAGAGCGUCCUGCCCCUGUGGAAGGGGGUCACUCGACCUUUGCCCCCAGAGUCAGGUCACUCUGAGUUGCUUAUUCAGGGUGCGAGCCAUAAGAACUGGUUAAAAGGCUGAGGAACAGAGGCGACAAUGGGAGAGAGCAGGGAAAGGUUAAAGCCAUAAUGGUGUGUGUGUGGAUAUUGGGUUGUAGUGACAACUGGUCAAGGCUCCUCUUGGCCCACUGAUGCAGUCUGAGGCCUCAUUCAAUCACCUGGUUCGUGAGUUAAUUUAUGAUUUUUCAUGAAGGUAAAGCAGGAGCGAGAGAGACCCAGAGAGGGAAUGUCUCAAGGAGUGGGAGUGGUGUGUGUGUGGAGUGCACAAGUGUAUUAUUUUUCUUUCUUUAGAUCAAAUCGGGUUAGAUUUAUUUUUCAAUCAACCGGGAGAGCGGGUAUGCAAUUUAAUUAGAAAAAUAUGACAUGCCUGACGUGAAAUGUAAUCAACUGAAAUGAAGUAAGUCUGUAUACUGUAGUUGCUGGUAUGGAAAGUGGGUGAAGUGGUACAGAUAGUUUAAUUCUUUAUUACGAUGUACAUGAGUCUGAAGCAAUAAUAUUAUUCAGGCAAUAAUUAACACUUCUCGUGUUUGUAUUUAUAUAGUGACCAGAAUACACCUUUGCUACUGCAGAUCUUCAAUAGAAAAUGUCUAUGGAUUUUCAGUUUUUAAUUAGUGUUCUAGAUAAACCACUAUAAAACUUGGACCUUAUAUUUCUAGUUUUCUUGUCAGCGUCAUGAAAUAUAGGCCAGUUGCAAUUGAGGCCCCCAUUUCAAAACCUCUUUUAAAAAGGGGACAUAUUUAAGUGACCUAUCUAGAAGUCAUUUGUGGUUUGCUUUGCUGCCCAUUUAGUUGUCAGUGGCCAUUUAACUAAUUCUCUGAGAAAAUUUGUAUUCAGUAUGAGGGAAACGGAAAUCUAUUAAUCAUUAGUUUCCUUGUGUGUCUUUUGACCCACCUUGUCCAAAUUAAUAUUUGUGCCUCAGAGAGGGAGAGUGUGUAUUUGUAUCCCUCGCUCACACUGUCCUGGUUAAGUACUUUCUGUUCUAUGAACACUUAAUAGAACACAAUGGAGCAGGCAUGAUCUCUUUAAGCCAAAAGUACUCCGCCACAGAACACCUGGGAUACUGCCAUCAAUGAUCAACACUAUCCCCUGGUCAUGUAGAUUUUGUGUAUCAUACUUCCCGUGGAGUCUUGUACAGGUGAAAAGGCUUCAAGUUGAGGCUCACCAAAAUCUUAACUGAAAUGGUAAAAAAUAUGAAAUACUGAAAAGAUUGUGUUAGGAGGCCAUAGGCUGUGUUUUAAUUUAUUAGAAUUUCAUUGUUGCGUCCUAUCAGCUGUUUAGUCCAAUUUCACCUUUUUGGGGGGGUAAAUGACUAACUAAAGAUAUCAUUUCUCAUAUGGUGUAACUUGUGUGAAAAUUAAAUCCUGUGAGAAAAUCCUAGGCCAAAUGUCUUUUUAGCUAACUGGCAGUGCUGCUGUUAAUUUAGAAGUUGUAGUGUAAUUAAACUGUAAGAUGCCAAAUGUGUUUGUUCACUUCUCUGCUCCCACCCUGUAAUACCAGGGCCCAUCUCCCGACACAGCACUGUUAACACUGGGUUAUUUCCUUAUACACCCACAGUUGCCCAAGAUGGCGUCAUUGUUUGUUAAUCAUUAUAAACACCCGCUUAGAGAAUAGAAAAACCACACAUUAUUCUCUCAUUUCUGAUGUGUUUUCCAAAUGCUUUAUUUUAAACUCUGACAAGGUCCAGUUGUAAUUCAUGGUGAUGGACUUCAUAUCCUUGGAUUUUGGAUGCCUCUGUUGUACACACAGAUUUGUGGUCAUUUUUCACACACAACCCAGUCCCCUUCUAAUAAGUUACACCAAUCAUUUAUGAAGAUGCUAUCGCUGGCUGGCCAGGGGGGAGUGGAUCAUCAACUAAUUAAUGGUCUUCCAGACGUCCCUUUUUUUCUGUUGGUGACAUUGAUCAGAGUUGUUGAAUUGUGCCAUAGUGCAUUAGUGAUAUUACUAGAGUGGUUAUCGGACCUGAUCAAAUCAGCGGAAGCAGGCGAUAUUUGGAAACUAGGGUAACCAUAAUUGUGCCUAUGAUGCUAGUUAAUACCACACCAUAACUGGUGUAUCACAUUAUAAACCCUUUGUCUGUUUGCUGCUCUACUUUUCAAUAGGUUCCCCUUUGACCAGAUGGAAGUUGAAGGAUGUUUCAUUCAAACAGCAGUCAACCAUAUUUUUUCCCCCCCAGUAUAAUAAAUGUGACUUAGCAGAGUUGGGGACUAGUCUGUCAAGUGACUUGGACAUUGUGAUUAGAUAUUUAUGUCCCUUUGUCAUGCUGUGGUUCAGUCUAAUAUUACUUAUGUUCUACUGAUCUUAGGGGAUAUAGUGAGUAAUGAAUUUUCAUUCUUGAACUGACUGAUUACUUUCAAAAUGGGCAUUUUCUAGCAAUUGCCAGAUUUUUAUUGUUGAAUAAUUAAGAUGUACAUGUCUGAGCUGUAAUAUUUGUAAUUUUGGAAACAAAAUGCUGUAUGCAGAUGAAUUAUAUUUACUUAACCCAAGCCUUGGGGCCAGAUUUAUAAACGUGGCACUAUAGUUUAGCUAAGUAAAACUGGCCUGAUGUGCGAUUUGAAAGUGAAGUGAUUGAAACUGCAUCACCCCUUCAAUUUAGCUGAUUCAGUCUCAACCUGUCAUAAUACACAAACACACGUGAUCUGUUGUAGAAGAGAGAAAAAGUACAACCUCAGUACUUUGCCUUUUUUAUUUAGCUGAUUAUUUACCCACAUUCUCUUCUGUGCUUUUCAGAUGGUUUGAGAGUCCUGGAGUUCCUUUCAGACACUGAUAGGCCAUCUGGAUGCUGCUUUCGGGUGAUUCCUCACAACUUGAGAAAUUAUUAUUUUAAUUUCCACAAUGUAAUCCAUAUAAUGUUCCUUUGGAGGAAGUAUUGUUGGCAUAUAUUUGACAUUUUGUAUCUAAAAGCAUAUUUGAGAAAUAAUCAAUCCGUGUUGGCCUACCCAGACACCAUAACUGUUGCUCUAUAUGGGGCACAAACAAUCUUCAUGUCAUUUAAAACCUCAUUGUAUGCUCUAAAAUGAGGAACAUUUACAUAAUUAAAUCUAUUAGGAUUUUGAAAAGUAUGAAAAUUAUACAUUUCUCAUUGUGUUUUAUGGACUGUUUUACUGACACAGAAGGUAAGAGUGGGAUCUCUGGGACUUUUUUGUUAGUUAUGACCAAAUAUAUGUGGGGUAUGUAGAACUCCAUUCUUCCUAUUGCGAGUAUAUUAUACUGUACUCUGCUGUUCUGUACUGGCAAUAGAAAGAAUGGAGUUCUACAUACCCCACAUAUAUUUGGUCAUAACUAACAAAAAAAAGUCCCAGAGAUCCCACUCUGUAACAGUCUGUCAGUAAAAUAUGAGAAAUUGAAGUCUCUCUAUUUGUGAUACUUUUCAAAAUAUGAAAUGUACAUUAAUCUUGCAAAAUGAAAUGUUUUACUCAUUUUAGUGGACAAGAUGCAUUUUGUACCCCAUAUAUAUCAACAGUUAUGGUAUCUUGCAAUGCUCCUUGGUAGGGCUGAAAUUUAAAAUAUGCUAACUUGGAAUAAUUAUUUCCAAAAGCUUCUAAAUACAAAUUUCAAAUAUAUGUCAACAAUACUUCAUCCAAAGGACCAUUUUUAUGGAUAAAAUUGUGACAAUCCCCAAAAAAUCCCUUUUUGUUCUAGUUUCAUGUGGAAUUACCGUUUCUUUCUCCGAAGUGUGAGGGGGAGAGAGUGAGCCAGAGGAUGAGGGUAUGCAGGAGAGGGAGUUGGAGAGGAUGUGUGUGUGUAUGCAGGGAGUGAGAGGUGUGUGUGUGUGUGUGUGUGUGUGUAAGGGAGAGAAUCAGAUGAUGAGAGAUGGAGCUGGUUGUGGUGGUGCUGUAGCAGCACAGAAUGGUUUGUGGGUUACACAGAGAUGCAGGCCGUACUGUGCUGCCGCAGUAACGCCUGGACAGACAGCAUCUGUGGAACUACCCGGAAGAGUAUGUGGGAGAGUGUGUGUGGGAUCCGACUGCCUCAUCACUGGCUGCCUUGCUGUAGCAGCACGUAAAUAUUGGAGUUAAAACUACUGCUGAAGCCUCCAGUAUUGAACGUGCUGCUGAAGCAAAGCUGACCGCUUACCACCGUUAACUUACGGCAAGUCUGCAUGCAUCAGUCCCUCUACUGCGCAUCGCAGGAGAACGGUGCACAGGAGAAGACACCGAAUGGAGAGGGACGCUGUGUGUCGUCAUAAUGACAGGUACAUAAUUAUUAGGUUAAGCAGUUGUUUUUGUCCAUUUAACUUUUUUACAUGUAUGUUGUAUUUUAUAGUUCAUUUUUUGGGGGUUAUGUUCAUAUAUUUGUAUAUACAUGAACAUUUUAUUUGCACAUUAAAUCAUGCAAACAAGUAAUAAUUUAGACUGGCCCAUGUUUUUUUUGUAUUGAAACGCAUUUGUAUUGCAUUGUCUAAUAAACGUUUUUGAAAUGAU